rnacentral:rRNA from 1 species
UUUAGCGGCCGCGAAUUCGCCCUUAGAGUUUGAUCAUGGCUCAGGAUGAACGUUGGCGGUGUGCCUAAUACAUGCAAGUCGAACGAAGAGCACGAAGUAGCAAUACAUUGUGUUUCUUAGUGGCGAACGGGUGAGUAACGCGUUGGUAACCUGCCCCGAAGUGGGGGAUAACAGUUCGAAAGGACUGCUAAUACCCCAUGUUAUCAUAGAGAUUAGAUGCUCAAUGAUCAAAGGAUUUAUUCGCUUCGGGAGGGGCCUGCGUCCCAUCAGCUAGUUGGUAGGGUAAUGGCCUACCAAGGCUAUGACGGGUAGGGGACCUGAGAGGGUGGCCCCCCACAAUGGAACUGAAACACGGUCCAUACACCUACGGGUGGCAGCAGUAGGGAAUAUUGGUAAUGGGCGAAAGCCUGAACCAGCAACACCGCGUGUGCGAUGAAGGCCUUCGGGUUGUAAAGCACUUUUCGGGAGGAUGAGAAAGGACAGUACUCCUGGAAUAAGUCUCGGCUAACUACGUGCCAGCAGCCGCGGUAAAACGUAGGAGGCGAACGUUAUCCGGAUUUACUGGGCGUAAAGCGCGUGCAGGUGGUUUGGUAAGUUGGGCGUGAAAGCUCCCGGCUCAACUGGGAGAGGUCGUUCAAGACUGCCGGACUAGAGGAUGGUAGAGGGAGGUGGAAUUCCGGGUGUAGCGGUGGAAUGCGCAGAUAUCCGGAGGAACACCAGUGGCGAAGGCGGCCUCCUGGACCACUCCUGACACUCAGACGCGAAAGCUAGGGUAGCAAACGGGAUUAGAGACCCCGGUAGUCCUAGCCGUAAACGAUGUAGACUUGGUGUCGGUGGUUUAAUAUCCAUCGGUAUCGAAGCUAACGCGAUAAGUCUACCGCCUGGGGACUACGGCCGCAAGGUUAAAACUCAAAGGAAUUGACGGGACCCCGCACAAGCAGCGGAGCGUGUGGUUUAAUUCGUUGCUACACGAAGAACCUUACCUGGGUUUGACAUAAGGGUGGUAGGGAUCCGAAAGGUGACCGACCCUUCGGGGAGCCUUUACAGGUGUUGCAUGGCUGUCGUCAGCUCGUGUCGUGAGAUGUUCGGUUAAGUCCGCAAACGAGCGCAACCCUCGCUGUGUGUUAUAUGUGUCACACGGGACUGCUGGUAUUAAGCCGGAGGAAGGAGAGGAUGACGCCAAGUCAGCAUGACCUUUAUAUCCAGGGCUACACACACGCUACAAUGGUCAGUACAAUGGGUCGCCAAGCCGUGAGGCGGAGCCAAUCCUAAAAAGCUGGCCUCAGUUCAGAUUGCAGUCUGCAACUCGACUGCAUGAAGUUGGAGUUGCUAGUAACCGCAGGUCAGCAAUACUGCGGUGAAUACGUUCCCGGGGUUUGUACACACCGCCCGUCACGUCAUGGAAGCUGGCAACACCCGAAAGCGGUAUCCUAACCCGCAAGGGAGGGAGCCGUCUAAGGUGAGGUUGGUGACUGGGACGAAGUCGUAACAAGGUAAAGGGCGAAUUCGUUUAAACCUGCAGGACUAGUCCC